GGGUGCGAUCAUACCAGCACUAAUGCACCAGA
rnacentral:rRNA from 3 species